GCCAAACCGUAAAAUUUAACUUACACUAAAAACGCCAGGGGACUACGAGCUUAGCUUAAAACCCAAAGGACUUGACGGUGUCCCACCCCCUACUAGAGGAGCCUGUUCUAUAAUCGAUGAUCCACGAUAUACCAAACCAUUUUUUGCCUUUCAGCCUGUAUACCUCCGUCGUAAGCUUACCAUAUGAAUGUAAAACAGUAGGCUCAAGGACCAACCCGUCAUAACGUCAGGUCAAGGUGCAGCUUAUAAAAUGGAAGUGAUGAGCUACAAUUUCUAAUUUAGAACAAACGAAUUAACUACUUGAAAUACAGUUAUGAAGGUGGAUUUAGCAGUAAGUAGGAAAUAGAGAGUCCCACUUAAAUAUCGGCCCUGGGAUGCGU
rnacentral:rRNA from 1 species